rnacentral:rRNA from 1 species
GACGAACGCUGGCGGCGUGCUUAACACAUGCAAGUCGAACGGAAAGGCCCUGCUUUUGUGGGGGGCUCGAGUGGCGAACGGGUGAGGAACACGAGAGUAACCUGCCCUUGACUCUGGGAUAACUUCAGGAAACUGGGGCUUAUACCGUAUAGGAGCUCCUGCUGCAUGGUGGGGGUUGGAAAGUUUCGGCGGUUGGGGAUGGACUCGCGGCUUAUCAGCUUGUUGGUGGGGUAGGGGCUUACCAAGGCUUUGACGGGUGGCCGGCCUGAGAGGGUGACCGGCCCCAUUGGGACUCAGAUACGGCCCAGACUCCGACGGGAGGCAGCAGUGGGGGAUAUUGUAAAAUGGGCGGAAGCCUGAUGCAGCAACGCCGCGUGCGGGAUGACGGCCUUCGGGUUGUAAACCGCUUUCGCCUGUGACGAAGCGUGAGUGACGGUAAUGGGUAAAGAAGCACCGGCUAACUACGUG